rnacentral:tRNA from 1 species
CAGAAGGUAGUUUAAUAUAGAAUACUAGCUUUGGGGGCUAGUGGUAGGAAUUUAAGUUUCCUUUUUCUGA